rnacentral:rRNA from 1 species
AACCUCCGCAAUGUGAGAAAUCGCGACGGGGGGAUCCCAAGUGCCAUUCUUAACGGGAUGGCUUUUCAUUAGUGUAAAGAGCUUUUGGAAUAAGAGCUGGGCAAGACCGGUGCCAGCCGCCGCGGUAACACCGGCAGCUCUAGUGGUAACAAUUUUUAUUGGGCCUAAAGCGUCCGUAGCCGGUUUAAUAAGUCUCUGGUGAAAUCCUGUAGCUUAACUGUGGGAAUUGCUGGAGAUACUAUUAGACUUGAGACCGGGAGAGGUUAGAGGUACUCCCAGGGUAGAGGUGAAAUUCUGUAAUCCUGGGAGGACCGCCUGUUGCGAAGGCGUCUAACUGGAACGGUUCUGACGGUGAGGGACGAAAGUUAGGGCGCGAACCGGAUUAGAUACCCGGGUAGUCCUAACCGUAAACGAUGCGGACUUGGUGUUGGGGUGGCUUUGAGCUGCUCCAGUGCCGAAGGGAAGCUGUUAAGUCCGCCGCCUGGGAAGUACGGUCGCAAGACUAAAACUUAAAGGAAUU